rnacentral:lncRNA from 1 species
UGAAAACCAUUGCAAAAUCCAUAUGGGGGCAUGCACAGUUGCAGCAUUGUUGUAAAUUUUCUUGAUCUACUAGAAAAAGUUACAUUAUCUUAAGGUAACAAAACAGUUCUUUUGUGCUUUUCGAUUUCUUUGUUUUUUUUUUUUUUCUUUUUUUUUCUUUUUUUCUUAGAAUGUUAGUGAUGACUGACAGUUCUGGUGCACAGUUACAAUGUACAAGUGAAAUGAAUAUGAUUUGCAUUGUUAAGGCAUCCAAUCUGCUGGUUUAUAUUUAUGUGAAAGACAGAGGNNNNNNAUAUACAAGCAGACUUAGGAAAGAAAGUAUGUUCAUUGAUUUCUAUGAAGUUUCUCCCUGGAAUUUAAUGCACAAAAUGCGUCACUCCAAAGGGAGAGGUUCCAUGCAUAUUAAUAGAGUAAAACAGCAUUAGGGUUUUCUUCUGUAAGCUUCCAAAGCAAAGGAUACAUUUUUUUUAAUCUACGGAACUAAAUGCUACAAGAAUAAUACGCUACUAUUUUUUGCCAUAAAUUGGAAAAAACUUCUUAACUUACAAAUAAUACAAAAAUAGACAAUGGCUUUUGGGUGAAAAUUAAAAAAAAAUGAAGCAUGGUUUAAAACAAUACUAAAAAUAACUAUAAAUGAAAUGUUUAAAAAUCACAUUGAAACAGCUAACUAUAGGUGACCAAACAAAUACGCACUUUUCACAUAGCAAACAUACACAAUAAAAUAAACUGGGAGUCAGAGGAAAAGGAGGAAGGGGAAAGCAAUGUACAAAUUCCAAAGAUAAAUACAUUAUUUAUAUGGAUAUCUUACAAAAUCCCCUUUAAAACAAAAAGCCUUUUAAUUAAUUUUGCAAGUAUGUGCAAGCUAAAGGUAGUGAGCUUUUUUUUUCCUUUGCAAAAUAUGCAGUAAAAUCUUUUUUAUGAUAUUGAAAAACCAUCUUAAGACAUUAAAAUGUAUAAAUAGAACAACAACUUUGGCAAAAAAUCACAAAAAAUCUACAGUAUUUAUAACUACAUACAAAAACACAACAGCAAAGAAAAAAAUCUCAGGCAAAUGCAUCCUUGGAGCUUUGCUGCCUCUUCACCAUUACCUUCUAUUGCAAGAACACUUCCCAGAUAAUGAGAGCAAUAAUUCCCAUCGAACAGAAAACUGUGUUUUGAGGUCUCAACCUUCUUCUCCUUUCUCCCAGUUUCCUUUCAUUCUUGAUUCCAAAGCACUUAACCGUUGUUUCUAUCUACUAUGUUACAAAUAG